UGGGUGACCUCCCGGGAA
rnacentral:snRNA from 1 species